rnacentral:rRNA from 1 species
GAUGAACGCUGGCGGCGUGCCUAAUACAUGCAAGUCGAGCGAACGGACGAGAAGCUUGCUUCUCUGAUGUUAGCGGCGGACGGGUGAGUAACACGUGGAUAACCUACCUAUAAGACUGGGAUAACUUCGGGAAACCGGAGCUAAUACCGGAUAAUAUUUUGAACCGCAUGGUUCAAAAGUAAAAGACGGUCUUGCUGUCACUUAUAGAUGGAUCCGCGCUGCAUUAGCUAGUUGGUAAGGUAACGGCUUACCAAGGCAACGAUGCAUAGCCGACCUGAGAGGGUGAUCGGCCACACUGGAACUGAGACACGGUCCAGACUCCUACGGGAGGCAGCAGUAGGGAAUCUUCCGCAAUGGGCGAAAGCCUGACGGAGCAACGCCGCGUGAGUGAAGAAGGUCUUCGGAUCGUAAAACUCUGUUAUUAGGGAAGAACAUAUGUGUAAGUAACUGUGCACAUCUUGACGGUACCUAAUCAGAAAGCCACGGCUAACUACGUG